CUUAUGACUAAGUAGAAAAUUAUUUGUAUUCCUUAAAGCUGUGGUAACUAAAACGAUGUAAUCAAAGAGGCUGCAGAGGAAGUUGGCAGUUAUUGCAAUUGACAUUUCGUGGUAGAAAAUAGUUAUUAUACAUCAUACAUGUACAUGAACUUAAUAACACAAUUCAUUUUUGUGGUUAAAAUUAAAAAUGACCUAAAUUUAUAAAACACCAGGUUCAACAUAAAAUUUAAGCGAUAGAUUUUUGGUUGCUGAAUGUCUAACAUGUUAUUUAAAAUAUUAUACAUACAUGCAUAUGAAAGAAGUACAUGUACUAUUAGCUAAGGAUAAAUGAAGGCAUGGAUUUACCUUUUUCAAAUUUAAAACUGCUGCGUUCUACAUCGUGUACAUGUAUAAUUCAAAUUUUAACAAAAUAAAUAAUUAUAUCAAACAUUCCCCCCCAAUGAGACAACUCUCCAUCCAAAUCACUUUUUGUAAAAGUAAACCAUUAUAAUUAUAUCAAACAUUCCCCCCCAAUGAGACAACUCUCCAUCCAAAUCACUUUUUGUAAAAGUAAACCAUUAUAACGGUCUUCAAUACAGAUAUUGAGACUUGGUCCACCGAACAGCAAGCUAUAAAGGGCCCCCAAAAUGACUAGUCUAAAAUAUUUAAAGAGGAAAACCAACAGUCUAAUCUAUAUAAAAAAAAAACGAAAAACGAGAACCACAUCAACAAACAGCAACCACUGAACAUCAGCCUGAACUUGUAGACUUUAAAGAAAUUGUAUUCUUAAUGGUUUUGUGUGUAGAAAAUUAUAGGUUAUUACCAAACGGCUUAAAUACCCAAAAUUGUUUUGCCCUAUAAUCACAAUUAUAUUGCCAUAAAAUGUAGAUAAUUGGUCCAAUUUCAUUUUAUCUAGUAAAUAU
rnacentral:lncRNA from 1 species